rnacentral:rRNA from 1 species
UACAGGGGGUGCAAACGUUGCUCGGAAUCAUUGGGCGUAAAGCGCACGUAGGCGGUUCGUUAUGUCGGAUGUGAAAGCCCUUGGCUUAACCGAGGAAGUGCAUCCGAAACUGGCGAGCUAGAGUACGAAAGAGGAUCGCGGAAUUCCCGGUGUAGAGGUGAAAUUCGUAGAUAUUCGCAAGAACACCAGUGGCGAAGGCGGCUCACUGGCCCGGUACUGACGCUGAGGCACGAAAGCGUGGGGAGCAAACAGG